GACGAACGCUGGCGGCGUGCUUAACACAUGCAAGUCGAACGAAGUGGCGAACGGGUGAGUAACGCGUAAUCAACCUGCCCUUCAGAGGGGGACAACAGUUGGAAACGACUGCUCAUACCGCAUACUGAAGGAGGGGAUUGCGUCUGAUUAGCUAGUUGGAGGGGUAACGGCCCACCAAGGCGAUGAUCAGUAGCCGGGCUUGAGGGGGGGACGGCCACAAUGGGACUGGGAAACGGCCCAGAACCCUAAGGGAGGCAGGAGGGGGGAAACUUCCGCAAUGGACGGAAGGCUGACGGGGCAACGCCGGGGGAGUGAUGACGGCCUUCGGGUUGGAAAGAUCUGUUAAUCGGGACGCGGUACCGGAAUAGAAAGCCACGGCUAACUACGUGCCAGCAGCCGCGGUAAUAC
rnacentral:rRNA from 1 species